rnacentral:rRNA from 1 species
GACGAACGCUGGCGGCGUGCUUAACACAUGCAAGUCGUACGGUAAGGCCCUUUCGGGGGUACACGAGUGGCGAACGGGUGAGUAACACGUGAGUAACCUGCCCACAACUUUGGGAUAACGCUAGGAAACUGGUGCUAAUACUGGAUAUGUGCUCCUGCUGCAUGGUGGGGGUUGGAAAGCUCCGGCGGUUGUGGAUGGACUCGCGGCCUAUCAGCUUGUUGGUGGGGUAGUGGCCUACCAAGGCGGCGACGGGUAGCCGGCCUGAGAGGGUGACCGGCCACAUUGGGACUGAGAUACGGCCCAGACUCCUACGGGAGGCAGCAGUGGGGAAUAGUGCACAAUGGGCGCAAGCCUGAUGCAGCAACGCCGCGUGCGGGAUGACGGCCUUCGGGUUGUAAACCGCUUUCAGCAGGGACGAAGCUUUUUGUGACGGUACCUGCAGAAGAAGCACCGGCUAACUACGUG